rnacentral:rRNA from 1 species
CCUACGGGAGGCAGCAGUGAGGAAUAUUGGUCAAUGGGCGGAAGCCUGAACCAGCCAAGUAGCGUGCAGGAUGACUGCCCUACGGGUUGUAAACUGCUUUUAUCCGGGAAUAACGCGCCUUACGUGUAGGGCUUUUCAUGUACCGUAUGAAUAAGGACUGGCUUAUGCCGUGCCAGCCGCCCCGGUAAUACGGAAGGUCCGGGCGUUUUCCGGAUUUAUUGGGUUUAAAGGGUGCGUAGGCCGCAUGGCAAGCGUGCUGUGAAAUGUCCGGGCUCAACCCGGGCCUUGCAGCGCGAACUGGCGUGCUUGAGUCCGCGGAAAGCAGGCGGAAUUCGUCGUGUAGCGGUGAAAUGCUUAGAUAUGACGAAGAACCCCGAUUGCGAAGGCAGCUUGCUGCAGCGGAACUGACGCUGAGGCUCGAAAGCGCGGGUAUCGAACAGGAUUAGAUACCCCAGUAGUC